AACGCAAAUUGCGCUCUUGGGUAGCCCUAGGAGCACGCCUCUCUCAGUAUCGGUUCAACCCUCUCUCAGCAGCGCUAUUGCAAAAUAGUCGCGUUGGCUGGAUAAUGAGAGUCUGUGUGCCAGCCACGCAGUCUCUUUAAGUACAUGGAGUUAAUGAAUGCGACUAACGAUCAGCUUUCGCCUCUCGGGGCGAGUAUAGUCUAGUUUCGACUGUUGUUCGGUAGUGACGUGAAUAUUGGCCCUCGUGGUCUAACUUUUACGUGUAUCUGCCGCAAUGAUAAUUAAAAGUUGGAAUUAAAUGAACGAUCGAACUAGCUUUCUGUAUUCUAACGCGAGCACACCAUAUGAUUUUUGAGCAAUCAGAAGUCUGAAUUUUGAUCUGAGAUGAAGCGAGACAACCCCCUGAAUUUAA
rnacentral:misc_RNA from 1 species